CAUAUUUUGAGACUCGUGUUGUUUGCAAACUGUGUCUCAUUUUUAUGAUCAGAAAUUCUGUAAGAACCGAAGUAUUAUAAAGAUUCAAUAAAGAACGAAUCGAGGGAACAGUUGGGUGAUAUUUUUAUCGAAAUUUAACCGUACGGGGAAAAGAUCAAAAGCUGAAACCAUGUCUACGAAAUGCGAGGUUUGUAACAUGGUAUUUUCAACGAAAGGAAAUUUGGUGGCACAGAAACGAACACAUACUAGAGAGAAACCUUAUGAAUGUGAUGUUUGCAACAAAAGAUUUUCGCGGUCAGACGACUUAGCUACACAUGAAAGAACACACACUGGAGACAAACCUUUAUAUCAAUGUGAUGUUUGCAACAAAAGAUUUUCAAAGUCAAGCCACGUUAGCCACCUUGCGGUUCAUAAGGGCAUGAAAGAACACACACUGGAGACAAACCUUAUGAGUGUGAUGUUUGCAAGAAAAGAUUUUCACACUCAAGCACUUAGCUGUUACACAUGAAAGAACACACACUGGAGACAAACCUUAUGAAUGUGAUGUUUGCAAGAAGAGAUUUUCGCGGUCA
rnacentral:lncRNA from 1 species